UUAAAGUUGUCUGUCUUUCUAAGAUAAGCUAACUGAAGCUAGUUAGCAUGUAGUGAAAUGCCAAUUUUCACCCGCGGGUUAAAGAGCCGCUCUUGUGAAUAUGAGCUUUGAACAGUUAUUAACCACAAUAGCUGUGGCUUAAAAAUAAUAUCGACACGAGUUUUUGGUAGCUUCCGUUUUGUAACAUAACACUUUUGUUAUGAAUCUCAAGCUACGAAUGAGAUUCAGAAGCUCUCAUUCGUAGCUUCUGAAUCGGGAAAUGGUUAAAGGGAAAUUCUGCCUAGUAUUUCACUAAUUUUGCGGGUGUUUGAUGUGCUGUGAUUUAAAAACUUAAAUGCAAUGAGUCUAAAAGCCUAGGUUAGAUAUUCCACACUGUUACCAGGAUAUUUUAAACACUAUUUUUAAUUGGUGAAUUUAAGUAGUCCUAGUUUGAUUUAAUUAAAAUGACUGUCUUGCUAUCUUGAAUUCAUGUAAUAUUGUAAUUGAGCACAUGAACUAAAAUAAGACUUGUUUUAUUUUUCAAGUAAACCAAACUGUUGCCAUGGUGAAGCCUAUGCUAGACAAGUCUCCAAUCACGUAUUGCACCAUCUACAAGAAACUGGGAAUUGCAAGUGACUCUGUCCUUCACAUUCUUGAGCAGAUGACCCAACAACUUCAAUCAAACAAGAUCACUUUUCAGCUCUGUGGUGAUCGUGAAACCAACUUUCUACUGGCCAUUGGAACCAUGCCUGCCCUGAUCUUCUGAAAGGAGGACAUCACAGCUACUACACCUUUCAGCAUGCGUGUGUGGGGCCACUCCUCUCUGUGCUGCUGUCAGAUUUCUUGAGAACGCCGUCCGUAACUGAGACAAGACUUCCACAUAUAAAAGGCUAUGGCUGAUUGGAAGAAGUUCAUUGCGGAGUAAUGGUGACAUCUAAUCCCAAGUUUAUUUUUGCUUUGGACAAUUUGGUUUGCUUGACUCUUAGGGCAUCUUAUGAGUGCGGCAGAUGUGUCAGAUCGUCAUUGUUCUGUCAUUUUACAGGAUUGUUUCAGAAUCAGAUGCCCAUCCAGACUUUAAAUUCUGACCAGUAGUCAUGUUUUAUUGUGUUUAUGUGAAAAUUAAACGUAAUAAAGAUGUUAAAAGUAA